rnacentral:tRNA from 1 species
GCUCAUUUGGCUCAGUGGAUAGAGCAUCAGCCUGCGGACUGAUGGUGCCAGGUUCAAUUCCAGUCAAGGGCA